rnacentral:lncRNA from 1 species
AGGAUGGGGAGAUUUGGAAAUGGGAGUCCAGUGAUGCCAGCAGGCACAUGGCACGCUGGGAACCCAGGCAAGGCUGGGAGAGAAAAUAAGCUACAGUACCCACCUCUGCUCCUCGCCUUCCAGCAGCCGCCUGUAGGUGGCGAUCUCGAUGUCCAGGCCCAGCUUGGAGUUCAUCACCUCCUGGUACUCCUUGACCAGGCAGGCCAUGUCCUGCUUGGCCUUCUGCAGGGCGGCCUCCAGCUCUGCCAGCUUGCAGCGGGCAUCGCUCAGAGCUGUCUCGCCUUGUUGCUCAGCCUGGGUCACUGCGGCCUCCAGCUUGGUGUUCUGGGGACCCAGAGGAGAACAAGGGAUCAGAAUCCAUGGACAAAAGAGGCCUUGUUAUUAUACACCUGGCUUCCCUCCUACUGCCAUGUCUAGGAGGCAGGUGCCUCCUCACCUUGCUGCGGUACCAGGACUCGGCCUCAGCCCGGCUGCGGCUGGCGAUGUCGUCGUACUGAGCCUUGAUCUCGGCCACAAUGCAGUCCAUGUUCAGGUCCCGGCUGUUGUCCAUCUUAACGAUGACCGAGGUGUCUGAGAUGUGGGCGUUGAGAACGCGGAUCUCCUGAAGACGGUCGGGGAUGAGAAGAUGGAAGGAUCUUAUUUACAUCCCAGCCUCACUCACCAAUCAUCCCCGGUCUCCAGACCCUGCUCACAUGACAGGCUCAUAGCACUGGCCAGCCCAAAUCCCUGGCCAACUCUUCAUCUAGGCUAGAGCCCCACUUCCAGGCCAGCUGCUUCUUUCUGCCUGGACCAAAGCCCCUCACCUCCUCAUACAGGCGCCGCAGGAAGUCGAUCUCCUCGGUCAGGGCCUCUGCAUUGGCCUCCAGGUCUGACUUGCGGAGGUAGGCGCAGUCCACAUCCUGGAAAGAUGGGGUGUCUUUGAGUGAAGAGGACCAUGGUAGUCAUCACUCCAAACUCCUUUCUUCUCCCCCAUCCAUGGAGGCCAGGGGAAAGGAUUCCCAGUGUUCUUAUUCCCAUCUCAUCUCCAUACCCUUCUGGCCUACCCAGCAUGGGCUUCACGACCUCUUGCCCUUCUGAGAAUAAACCCCUUUGUGCUUGGAGAUGGGCC